CGUUUUUAUAGUGUACUAAACAUAUAGUCCUUUCAAGACUAAGCUAACCAGUUGUUUAAAAACGA
rnacentral:tRNA from 1 species